AACGAACGCUGGCGGCAGGCUUAACACAUGCAAGUCGAACGCCCCGCAAGGGGAGCGGCAGACGGGUGAGUAACGCGUGGGAAUCUACCCAUCUCUACGGAAUAACGCAUGGAAACGUGUGCUAAUACCGUAUACGUCCUUCGGGAGAAAGAUUUAUCGGAGAUGGAUGAGCCCGCGUUGGAUUAGCUAGUUUGUGGGGUAAAGGCCUACCAAGGCGACGAUCCAUAGCUGGUCUGAGAGGAUGAUCAGCCACACUGGGACUGAGACACGGCCCAGACUCCUACGGGAGGCAGCAGUGGGGAAUAUUGGACAAUGGGCGCAAGCCUGAUCCAGCCAUGCCGCGUGAGUGAUGAAGGCCCUGGGGUUGUAAAGCUCUUUCACCGGUGAAGAUAAUGACGGUAACCGGAGAAGAAGCCCCGGCUAACUUCGUGCCAGCCGCCGCCGUAAAAC
rnacentral:rRNA from 1 species